rnacentral:lncRNA from 1 species
UAUAGGGUGCCUUUGGGUGCUGUAUUGGCCAUAUGGACAUUAAUGUUGGGUGCUAUAGGCGUUAUGGGGUGCCUUUGGGUGCUGUAGGGGCCAUACGGACCUUGUCGUUGGGUUCUAUAGGUGAUAUGGGGUGCCUUUGGGUGCUAUAGGUGCUAUAUGGACCUUGAUGUUGGGCUCUAUAGGUGUUGUAGGGUUCCUUUGGGUACUGCAGGGGCCAUAUGGACCUUGCUGUUGGGUUCUGUAGGUGUUAUGGGGUUCCCUUGGGUGCUAUAGGUGCCAUAUGGACCUUGAUGUUGGGUGCUAUAGGUGUUACAGGGUGCCUUUGGGUGCUGUAGGGGGCAUAUGGACCUUGUCCUUGGGUGCUAUAGGGGCCAUGUGGACCUUGUCAUUGGGUGCUAUAGGUGUUACGGGGUGCCUUUGGGUGCUAUAGGUGCUAUACAGACCUUGAUAUUGGGUUCUAUAGGUGUUAUAGAGUCCCUUUGGGUGCUAUAUGGGCCAUACGGACCUUGAUGUUGGGUUCUGAAUGUGUUACGGGGUUCCCUUGG